GCUAAUACCGCAUGAUGCCUACGGGCCAAAGAGGGGGACCUUCGGGCCUCUCGCGUCAAGAUAUGCCUAGGUGGGAUUAGCUAGUUGGUGAGGUAAUGGCUCACCAAGGCGACGAUCCCUAGCUGGUCUGAGAGGAUGAUCAGCCACACUGGAACUGAGACACGGUCCAGACUCCUACGGGAGGCAGCAGUGGGGAAUAUUGCACAAUGGGCGAAAGCCUGAUGCAGCCAUGCCGCGUGUAUGAAGAAGGCCUUCGGGUUGUAAAGUACUUUCAGUUGUGAGGAAGGGGGUGUCGUUAAUAGCGGCAUCUCUUGACGUUAGCAACAGAAGAAGCACCGGCUAACUCCGUGCCAGCAGCCGCGGUAAUACGGAGGGUGCGAGCGUUAAUCGGAAUUACUGGGCGUAAAGCGCAUGCAGGUGGUUCAUUAAGUCAGAUGUGAAAGCCCGGGGCUCAACCUCGGAACUGCAUUUGAAACUGGUGAACUAGAGUACUGUAGAGGGGGGUAGAAUUUCAGGUGUAGCGGUGAAAUGCGUAGAGAUCUGAAGGAAUACCAGUGGCGAAGGCGGCCCCCUGGA
rnacentral:rRNA from 1 species